AUACGUAGGGGGCUAGCGUUAUCCGGAUUUACUGGGCGUAAAGGGUGCGUAGGUGGUUUCUUAAGUCAGGAGUGAAAGGCUACGGCUCAACCGUAGUAAGCUCUUGAAACUGGGAAACUUGAGUGCAGGAGAGGAAAGUGGAAUUCCUAGUGUAGCGGUGAAAUGCGUAGAGAUUAGGAAGAACACCAGUUGCGAAGGCGGCUCUCUGGACUGUAACUGACACUGAGGCACGAAAGCGUGGGGAGC
rnacentral:rRNA from 1 species